AUGUUAACGGAAGAAGAGUUCGAAUCAGCUUGGGCAGCGCUGCUGGAUAAGUACAACUUGAGGAGUCACGCCUACAUGACACAAAUAUAUGAAACCCGGAGGAAAUGGGCCAAGCCAUAUUUCAGGCGUGUGUUUUGCGCAAAGAUGGCAAGCACCCAGCGCAGUGAGAGCGCAAACCACAUGCUGAAGUCAUACAUGCCCCCUGCAAGCCCAAUGCAUGUCUUUGUCAGGCAGUAUAUGAGGCUGCAAUUUGACAGAGAGCGCGAUGAAAGCUACAAGGAGAAGAGGACCAUGAUAGAUUAG
rnacentral:rRNA from 1 species